UACCAAGUGUGGCACAGUGGUUUGAGCGUUGGACUAUGACUCUGGGGACCAGGGUUCGAUUCCUAGCCUGGCCA